rnacentral:rRNA from 1 species
UACGGAGGGGGCUAGCGUUGUUCGGAAUUACUGGGCGUAAAGCGCACGUAGGCGGACCUGCAAGUCGGGGGUGAAAGCCCGAGGCUCAACCUCGGAACUGCCUUCGAUACUGCGGGUCUCGAGUCCGGGAGAGGUGAGUGGAAUUCCUAGUGUAGAGGUGAAAUUCGUAGAUAUUCGCAAGAACACCAGUGGCGAAGGCGGCUCACUGGCCCGGUACUGACGCUGAGGUGCGAAAGCGUGGGGAGCAAACAGG